rnacentral:tRNA from 31 species
GCGCGGGUGGCGGAAUGGCAGACGCGCUAGCUUGAGGUGCUAGUCCUCGAAAGGGGGUGGGGGUUCAAGUCCCCCUCCGCGCAC